rnacentral:SRP_RNA from 2 species
CCUAGGCCCCUUGAAGGCGAUAUGCUGUGAACUCCGCCAGGCCUGGAAGGGAGCAACGGUAACAGUGGCGUCGGGCUUUGAGUAAGGCUGGGUGGG